AAAUUGAAGAGUUUGAUCAUGGCUCAGAUUGAACGCUGGCGGCAGGCCUAACACAUGCAAGUCGAACGGUAACAGGAAGCAGCUUGCUGUUUCGCUGACGAGUGGCGGACGGGUGAGUAAUGUCUGGGAAACUGCCUGAUGGAGAGGGAUAACUACUGGAAACGGUGGCUAAUACCGCAUAACGUCGCAAGACCAAAGAGGGGGACCUUCGGGCCUCUUGCCAUCAGAUGUGCCCAGAUGGGAUUAGCU
rnacentral:rRNA from 1 species